UACGUAGGGGGCUAGCGUUGUCCGGAAUCAUUGGGCGUAAAGCGCGUGUAGGCGGUCCGGUAAGUCCGCUGUGAAAGCCGGGGGCUCAACCCUCGAAUGCCGGUGGAUACUGUCGGGCUAGAGUGCGGAAGAGGCGAGUGGAAUUCCUGGUGUAGCGGUGAAAUGCGCAGAUAUCAGGAGGAACACCAAUUGCGAAGGCAGCUCGCUGGGACGUUACUGACGCUGAGACGCGAAAGCGUGGGGAGCAAACAGG
rnacentral:rRNA from 1 species